rnacentral:rRNA from 1 species
UACGUAGGGGGCAAGCGUUAUCCGGAUUUACUGGGUGUAAAGGGAGCGUAGACGGUUAAUCAAGUCAGAAGUGAAAACCCAGGGCUCAACCUUGGGACUGCUUUUGAAACUGAGUAGCUAGAGUGCAGGAGAGGUAAGCGGAAUUCCUAGUGUAGCGGUGAAAUGCGUAGAUAUUAGGAGGAACACCAGUGGCGAAGGCGGCUUACUGGACUGUAACUGACGUUGAGGCUCGAAAGCGUGGGGAGCAAACAGG